rnacentral:rRNA from 1 species
UACGAAGGGGGCUAGCGUUGCUCGGAAUUACUGGGCGUAAAGCGCACGUAGGCGGAUCUUUAAGUCAGGGGUGAAAUCCUGGAGCUCAACUCCAGAACUGCCUUUGAUACUGAGGACCUUGAGUUCGGGAGAGGUGAGUGGAACUGCGAGUGUAGAGGUGAAAUUCGUAGAUAUUCGCAAGAACACCAGUGGCGAAGGCGGCUCACUGGCCCGAUACUGACGCUGAGUGCGAAAGCGUGGGAGCAACAGGG